UACGGAGGAUCCAAGCGUUAUCCGGAUUUAUUGGGUUUAAAGGGUGCGUAGGCGGCUUAUUAAGUCAGAGGUGAAAGACGGUGGCUCAACCAUCGCAGUGCCUUUGAUACUGAUGAGCUUGAAUAGACCUGAGGUAGGCGGAAUGUGACAAGUAGCGGUGAAAUGCAUAGAUAUGUCACAGAACACCAAUUGCGAAGGCAGCUUACUAAAGUACUGAUUGACGCUGAGGCACGAAAGCGUGGGGAUCAAACAGG
rnacentral:rRNA from 1 species